AAAGUAAAAGCUCUCAAGCAGCUAGCUGUUAACUAGCAGGCUAUGAACCAAAAUUUCAUUUACUUUC
rnacentral:tRNA from 1 species